rnacentral:rRNA from 1 species
AACGAACGCUGGCGGCAGGCCUAACACAUGCAAGUCGAGCGCCCCGCAAGGGGAGCGGCGGGCGGGUGAGUAACGCGUGGGAAUAUGCCCUUUGCUACGGAAUAGUCUCGGGAAACUGGGGGUAAUACCGUAUACGCCCUUUGGGGGAAAGAUUUAUCGGCGAAGGAUUAGCCCGCGUUGGAUUAGGUAGUUGGUGGGGUAAUGGCCUACCAAGCCGACGAUCCAUAGCUGGUUUGAGAGGAUGAUCAGCCACACUGGGACUGAGACACGGCCCAGACUCCUACGGGAGGCAGCAGUGGGGAAUCUUAGACAAUGGGGGCAACCCUGAUCUAGCCAUGCCGCGUGAGUGAUGAAGGCCUUAGGGUUGUAAAGCUCUUUCAGCUGGGAAGAUAAUGACGGUACCAGCAGAAGAAGCCCCGGCUAACUCCGUG